AUGGAGCCCAGCAGGAAAGGCAUGAUCUUCAAGUCCCACUUCAACAAGCACUGGCAGUGGUGUGUGGCUACAUGGUUCAACCACGUCUGGACCCAUCCAGCCCAUAGUAAGGUGCUGCAUGGUGAGGUAUCACACCAAAGUACACGCUGGCCAGGGCUUCAGCAUGGAGGAGUUAAGGGUGGUUGGUAUUCACAAGAAGGUGGCACAGAACACUGACAUCUCUGUGGAUCCGAGAAGGCAAAACAAGUCCACCGAGUCCCUGCAAGCCAAUGUGCAGUGCUGAUGGAGUGCCACUCCAAACUCAUCCUCUUCCCCAGGAAGCCCUUGGCCCCCAAGAAGGGAGACAGUUCUGCUGAAGAACUGAAAUUGCCCCAGUAGCUGACAGGACUACUUAUGCCUGUCCAGAAUGUCUAUAAGAAGGAGAAAGCCCGAGGCAUCACUGAGGAAGGGAAGAACUCCAAGGCCUUUGCUAGUCUCCACGUGGCCUGCACAAAUGCCCAGCUCUUCUGCAUAUGGGUAAAAAGAACCAAGGAAGCUGAAGAACAGGAUAUUGAAAAAAAAUAAAGAU
rnacentral:lncRNA from 1 species